rnacentral:rRNA from 1 species
AAAAACAUCGCCUCUUGCUAUUACAUAAGAGGUCCAGCCUGCCCAGUGACCAAAUUUAACGGCCGCGGUACUCUAACCGUGCAAAGGUAGCACAAUCACUUGUUCUUUAAAUGAGGACUAGAAUCAACGGCAUCACGAGGAUCUUACUGUCUCCCCCCUCCAAUCAGUGAAACUAAUCUCCCCGUGAAGAAGCGGGAAUAGAAAUAUAAGACGAGAAGACCCCAUGGAGCUUUAAACCCAGUAACACCCACUUAUUUUAUACCCUCACAUUCUACAAGGUCAUGUUUAUUUGGUUUUAGGUUGGGGUGACCACGGAGUACAAAAUAACCUCCAUGAAAAAAGGAUUAAUAAUCUUUAUCAGAGAAAUACACUUCCAAGAAUUAACAAAUUAAUUUUUAAUGAUCCGAUAUUCGAUCAACGAACCAAGUUACCCUGGGGAUAACAGCGCAAUCCACCUCAAGAGCUCCUAUCGACAGGUGGGUUUACGACCUCGAUGUUGGAUCAGGGUAUCCGAGUGGUGCAGCAGCUACUAAUGGUUCGUUUGUUCAACGAUUUAAACCCU